GUGGCGCACGGGUGCGUAACGCGUGAGCAACCUGCCCAUAUCAGGGGGAUAGCCCGUUGAAAGACGGAUUAAACCCGCAUGUGACCGUUGAUCCGCAUGGGUCUUCGGUCAAAUACCACAGGAUAUGGAUGGGCUCGCGUGACAUUAGCUUGUUGGCGGGGUAACGGCCCACCAAGGCGACGAUGUCUAGGGGCUCUGAGAGGAGAAACCCCCACACUGGUACUGAGACACGGACCAGACUCCUACGGGAGGCAGCAGUAAGGAAUAUUGGUCAAUGGGGGGAACCCUGAACCAGCCAUGCCGCGUGCAGGAAGACGGCCCUACGGGUUGUAAACUGCUUUUGUACGGGAAUAACCCGCCAUACGUGUAUGGCGCUGAAGGUACCGUAAGAAUAAGGAUCGGCUAACUCCGUGCCAGCAGCCGCGGUAAUACGGAGGAUCCGAGCGUUAUCCGGAAUUAUUGGGUUUAAAGGGUGCGUAGGCGGCAUGCUAAGUCAGGGGUGAAAUACGGUGGCUCAACCAUCGCAGUGCCUUUGAUACUGGCGUGCUUGAAUUUACCUGAGGUAGGCGGAAUGUGGCAAGUAGCGGUGAAAU
rnacentral:rRNA from 1 species